rnacentral:rRNA from 1 species
AACGAACGCUGGCGGCGUGCCUAACACAUGCAAGUCGUGCGAGAAAGUUCCUUCGGGAGCGAGUAAAGCGGCGCACGGGUGAGUAACACGUAGGUAACCUGCCCCCAGUCUGGAACAACUAGAGGAAACUCUAGCUAAUGCCGGAUGAGACCACGAUCCCUUCGGGGGUUGCGGCCAAAGAUGGCCUCUACUUGUAAGCUAUCGCUGAGGGAUGGGCCUGCGGGCCAUUAGCUUGUUGGUGAGGUAACGGCUCACCAAGGCUGUGAUGGCUAGCUGGUCUGAGAGGAUGACCAGCCACACUGGGACUGAGACACGGCCCAGACUCCUACGGGAGGCAGCAGUGGGGAAUAUUGCGCAAUGGGCGAAAGCCUGACGCAGCGACGCCGCGUGGUGAUGAAGGCCUUCGGUCGG